rnacentral:rRNA from 1 species
AUUGAACGCUGGCGGCAGGCCUAACACAUGCAAGUCGAACGGUAGCACAGAGAGCUUGCUCUCGGGUGACGAGUGGCGGACGGGUGAGUAAUGUCUGGGAAACUGCCCGAUGGAGGGGGAUAACUACUGGAAACGGUAGCUAAUACCGCAUAACGUCGCAAGACCAAAGUGGGGGACCUUCGGGCCUCACACCAUCGGAUGUGCCCAGAUGGGAUUAGCUAGUAGGUGGGGUAAUGGCUCACCUAGGCGACGAUCCCUAGCUGGUCUGAGAGGAUGACCAGCCACACUGGAACUGAGACACGGUCCAGACUCCUACGGGGGGCAGCAGUGGGGAAUAUUGCACAAUGGGCGCAAGCCUGAUGCAGCCAUGCCGCGUGUACGAAGAAGGCCUUCGGGUUGUAAAGUACUUUCAGCGGGGAGGAAGGCGGUGAAGUUAAUAGCUUCACCGAUUGACGUUACCCGCAGAAGAAGCACCGGCUAACUCCGUGCCAGCAGCCGCGGUAA